rnacentral:rRNA from 1 species
UACAGAGGGUGCAAGCGUUAAUCGGAAUUACUGGGCGUAAAGCGCACGCAGGCGGUUGGUUAAGUCAGAUGUGAAAGCCCCGGGCUCAACCUGGGAAUUGCAUUUGAAACUGGCCAACUAGAGUACGUGAGAGGGGGGUAGAAUUCCAAGUGUAGAGGUGAAAUUCGUAGAUAUGCGGAGGAACACCAAUGGCGAAGGCGACCACCUGGACUGAUACUGACACUGAGGUGCGAAAGCGUGGGGAGCAAACAGG